GCCAAUGUAGCUCAGUGGUAGAGCACAGGAUUCAUACCCCUGCGGUCGGUAGUUCAAUUCUACUCAUUGGCA
rfam:Candidatus Gracilibacteria bacterium CG2_30_37_12 cg2_3.0_scaffold_20550_c, whole genome shotgun sequence.